GUUCGUGCCAGAGGCGGGCUGGGCGCUGAGGAGAUUCUCGCCGGCAGAGGCCCAGUGGAGCUAGCGUCUUUGGUUCCGUUCGAUCCGGUCUGGCCUCUGUGUAGGCUAUGCUCGCCGCAGCUCCAGUGGCGGCCAGAGUUGUAGAAAGCAACCAGAGAUCUGCUUGACUACACAGAAAUAGCUAAGAAUGACUCCUUUAUUUUAUGCUUCAGUUAAACAAGAUAAGCUAAUUCAGAAUUUGAGUAAAUUCAGAGAAGAAAAAAGAUCCAGUCAUUGUCUUGGGAAUUAAAUUUACACAUGAGCAUUUGAUGUGGGUGGAGGAAGACUAUGCCCUAGC